UACGGAGGGGGUUAGCGUUGUUCGGAAUGACUGGGCGUAAAGCGCGCGCAGGCGGCGGUGCUGGCCCGGCGUGAAAGCCCCCGGCUCAACCGGGGAGGGUCGUCGGGGACCGCACCGCUUGAGGGCGGUAGGGGCUGGUGGAAUGCCUGGUGUAGUGGUGAAAUGCGUAGAGAUCAGGCGGAACACCCGUGGCGAAGGCGGCCAGCUGGGCCGUCCCUGACGCUGAGGCGCGAAGGCGUGGGGAGCGAACGGG
rnacentral:rRNA from 1 species